rnacentral:rRNA from 1 species
AGAGUUUGAUCCUGGCUCAGAUUGAACGCUGGCGGCAUGCCUUACACAUGCAAGUCGAGCGGCAGCGCGGGGGCAACCCUGGCGGCGAGCGGCGAACGGGUGAGUAAUGCAUCGGAACGUGUCCUCUUGUGGGGGAUAACCAGUCGAAAGACUGGCUAAUACCGCAUGAGAUCGAGAGAUGAAAGCGGGGGACCGCAAGGCCUCGCGCGAGAGGAGCGGCCGAUGCCGGAUUAGCUAGUUGGCGGGGUAAUGGCCCACCAAGGCGACGAUCCGUAGCUGGUCUGAGAGGACGACCAGCCACACUGGGACUGAGACACGGCCCAGACUCCUACGGGAGGCAGCAGUGGGGAAUUUUGGACAAUGGGGGCAACCCUGAUCCAGCCAUGCCGCGUGUGUGAAGAAGGCCUUCGGGUUGUAAAGCACUUUCGGACGGAACGAAAUCGCGCGAUCUAACAAGUCGCGUGGAUGACGGUACCGUAAGAAGAAGCACCGGCUAACUACGUGCCAGCCGCCGCGGUAAUAC